UACAGAGGGUGCGAGCGUUGUUCGGAAUUAUUGGGCGUAAAGCGCGUGUAGGCGGGAUGGCAAGUCGGGUGUGAAAGCCCUCAGCUCAACUGAGGAAGUGCGCCCGAAACUACUGUUCUUGAGUGUCGGAGAGGGUGGCGGAAUUCCCGGUGUAGAGGUGAAAUUCGUAGAUAUCGGGAGGAACACCAGUGGCGAAGGCGGCCACCUGGCCGAACACUGACGCUGAGACGCGAAAGCGUGGGGAGCAAAC
rnacentral:rRNA from 1 species